UCCUGCAUUUUUACGACGUCAGCCUGCCCAGUGACAAAAUUAAACGGCCGCGGUAUCCUAACCGUGCGAAGGUAGCAUAAUCACUUGUUCCUUAAAUAGGGACUUGUAUCAACGGCAUCACGAGGGCUAUACUGUCUCCUCUUUUUAAUCAGUUAAACUGAUCUCCCCGUGAAGAAGCGGGGAUUUUUUUAUAAGACGAGAAGACCCCAUGGAGCUUUAAGCAACGUAUUUAUCUUCUUUUGUUACAUCAACAUCAAUCUGAAUCUCUAAAUACUAGCUUUAGGUUGGGGAGACCGCGGAGUAUAAAUUAACCUCCGCAAUAAACAGGCCUUGCCUUAAUCUGAGAGUGACAACCCAAAGAAUCAACAAACUGAUAUCUUGUGAUCCAAUCAUUUGAUUAAUGAACCAAGUUACCCUGGGGAUAACAGCGCAAUCUACUUCAAGAGCCCCUAUCGACAAGUAGGCUUACGACCUCGAUGUUGGAUCAGGGUAUCCCAGUGGUGCAACCGCUACUAACAGGUUCGUUUGUUCAACGAUUAAAACCCUACGUGAUCUGAGUUCAGACCGGAU
rnacentral:rRNA from 1 species